AAAUUGAAGAGUUUGAUCAUGGCUCAGAUUGAACGCUGGCGGCAGGCCUAACACAUGCAAGUCGAGCGGUAACACAGAGAGCUUGCUCUCGGGUGACGAGCGGCGGACGGGUGAGUAAUGUCUGGGAAACUGCCUGAUGGAGGGGGAUAACUACUGGAAACGGUAGCUAAUACCGCAUAACGUCGCAAGACCAAAGUGGGGGACCUUCGGGCCUCAUGCCAUCAGAUGUGCCCAGAUGGGAUUAGCUAGUAGGUGGGGUAAUGGCUCACCUAGGCGACGAUCCCUAGCUGGUCUGAGAGGAUGACCAGCCACACUGGAACUGAGACACGGUCCAGACUCCUACGGGAGGCAGCAGUGGGGAAUAUUGCACAAUGGGCGCAAGCCUGAUGCAGCCAUGCCGCGUGUAUGAAGAAGGCCUUCGGGUUGUAAAGUACUUUCAGCGAGGAGGAAGGCGUUAAGGUUAAUAACCUUGGCGAUUGACGUUACUCGCAGAAGAAGCACCGGCUAACUCCGUGCCAGCAGCCGCGGUAAUACGGAGGGUGCAAGCGUUAAUCGGAAUUACUGGGCGUAAAGCGCACGCAGGCGGUCUGUCAAGUCGGAUGUGAAAUCCCCGGGCUCAACCUGGGAACUGCAUUCGAAACUGGCAGGCUAGAGUCUUGUAGAGGGGGGUAGAAUUCCAGGUGUAGCGGUGAAAUGCGUAGAGAUCUGGAGGAAUACCGGUGGCGAAGGCGGCCCCCUGGACAAAGACUGACGCUCAGGUGCGAAAGCGUGGGGAGCAAACAGGAUUAGAUACCCUGGUAGUCCACGCCGUAAACGAUGUCGACUUGGAGGUUGUGCCCUUGAGGCGUGGCUUCCGGAGCUAACGCGUUAAGUCGACCGCCUGGGGAGUACGGCCGCAAGGUUAAAACUCAAAUGAAUUGACGGGGGCCCGCACAAGCGGUGGAGCAUGUGGUUUAAUUCGAUGCAACGCGAAGAACCUUACCUACUCUUGACAUCCAGAGAACUUAGCAGAGAUGGUUUGGUGCCUUCGGGAACUGUGAGACAGGUGCUGCAUGGCUGUCGUCAGCUCGUGUUGUGAAAUGUUGGGUUAAGUCCCGCAACGAGCGCAACCCUUAUCCUUUGUUGCCAGCGGUUAGGCCGGGAACUCAAAGGAGACUGCCAGUGAUAAACUGGAGGAAGGUGGGGAUGACGUCAAGUCAUCAUGGCCCUUACGAGUAGGGCUACACACGUGCUACAAUGGCAUAUACAAAGAGAAGCGACCUCGCGAGAGCAAGCGGACCUCAUAAAGUAUGUCGUAGUCCGGAUUGGAGUCUGCAACUCGACUCCAUGAAGUCGGAAUCGCUAGUAAUCGUAGAUCAGAAUGCUACGGUGAAUACGUUCCCGGGCCUUGUACACACCGCCCGUCACACCAUGGGAGUGGGUUGCAAAAGAAGUAGGUAGCUUAACCUUCGGGAGGGCGCUUACCACUUUGUGAUUCAUGACUGGGGUGAAGUCGUAACAAGGUAACCGUAGGGGAACCUGCGGUUGGAUCACCUCCUUA
rnacentral:rRNA from 1 species